rnacentral:rRNA from 1 species
AGCCGAGGGAAGAUCACAGAGAUUGCCCUAGUAACGGCGAGUGAAGCGGCAACAGCCCAGCUUUGAAAUCUGGCCCCCCUGGGGGUCCGAGUUGUAAGCUGCAGAGGAUGCUUCUGGCGUACCGUCCCCCCAAGUUCCCUGGAACGGGACGCCUGGGAGGGUGAGAGCCCCGUACGGACGGGCGGUGCAGCCGUGUGAAGCUCCCUCGAAGAGUCGAGUAGUUUGGGAAUGCUGCUCAAAGCGGGAGGUAAAGCUCUCCUAAGGCUAAAUACCGGCUGGAGACCGAUAGCGCACAAGUAGAGUGAUCGAAAGAUGAAAAGCACCUUGAAAAGAGGGUUAAACAGUACGUGAAAUCGUUGAAAGGGAAGCGUCUGUGACCGGACUUGGGCGCCGCGGCUCAGCCACCGUUCAGCGGUGGUGUUUUCCGCGGCGCGCGGGCCAGCAUCGGUUUCGUGCGGGGGACAAGGGCGGCGGGAAUGUGGCUCCCCUCGGGGAGUGUUAUAGCCCGUCCGUCAUAUGCCCCGCGGGGGACCGAGGAACGCGCUUGAUUGCACGGAUGCUGGCGUAAUGGUCGCCGACGACCCGUCUUGAAACACGGAUCGAGGAGUCAAGCAGUAGGGCGAGUGUUCGGGUGUCAAACCCCGACGCGCAGUGAAAGCGAACGCAGGUGAGAGCUUCGGCGCAUCAUCGACCGAUCCUGAAGUCUUCGGAUGGAUUUGAGUAGGAGCCUUACCGCUUGGACCCGAAAGAUGGUGAACUAUGCCUGAAUAGGGUGAAGCCAGAGGAAACUCUGGUGGAGGCUCGCAGCGGUUCUGACGUGCAAAUCGAUCGUCAAAUUUGGGCAUGGGGGCGAAAGACUAAUCGAACCAUCUAGUAGCUGGUUACCGCGAGUUUCUCUCUCGGAUAAAAC